UACGGGGGGGCAAGCGUUGUUCGGAAUUACUGGGCGUAAAGGGCUUGUAGGCGGCCAACUAAGUCGGACGUGAAAUCCCCAGGCUCAACCUGGGAACUGCGUCCGAUACUGGAUGGCUUGAAUUCGGGAGAGGGAUGCAGAAUUCCAGGUGUAGCGGUGAAAUGCGUAGAUAUCUGGAGGAAUACCGGUGGCGAAGGCGGCAUCCUGGACCGACAUUGACGCUGAGGAGCGAAAGCUAGGGGAGCAAACGGG
rnacentral:rRNA from 1 species